rnacentral:rRNA from 1 species
AGCAGCCGCGGUAAUUCCAGCUCCAAUAGCGUAUAUUAAAGUUGUUGCAGUUAAAAAGCUCGUAGUUGAAUUUCGGGGUCAGCAGGUUGGUCGUGCCACUGGUAUGUACUGGCUUUGCUGAUUCCUCCUUCUUGUAGAACCGUAAUGCCAUUAAGUUGGUGUUGCGGGAAAACAGGACUGUUACUUUGAAAAAAUUAGAGUGUUUAAAGCAGGCUAACGCUUGAAUACAUUAGCAUGGAAUAAUGAAAUAGGACGACGAUCCUAUUUUGUUGGUUUCUAGGAUUGACGUAAUGAUUAAUAGGGAUAGUUGGGGGCAUUAGUAUUCAAUUGUCAGAGGUGAAAUUCUUGGAUUUAUUGAAGACUGACUACUGCGAAAGCAUUUGUCAAGGAUGUUUUCAUUAAUCAAGAACGAAAGUUAGGGGAUCGAAGACGAUCAGAUACCGUCGUAGUCUUAACCAUAAACUAUGCCGACUAGGGAUCGGAUGAUGUUAAUUUUUUAAUGACUCA